rnacentral:tRNA from 1 species
GGUAGCCAGAUGGUAGCCAUUGAUUCUAUAGUUUAAAAAAACUAAGAAAAAACAAUAAAUUGAAAGAUCGGAAGUAGCACUCAUAACGAUGGGGUCGGUGGUUCGAAUCCACCCCAUAGCCACCA